rnacentral:tRNA from 1 species
GUGCCUUCUUUGAAGAUAGCUCAGUUGGGUAGAGCAUGGUGCUGAUAACGCCAAGGUUGCAGGUUUGAUCCCUGUAUGGGAUA